UGUUUCUUCACCUCUGCAGGUGAGGAUGGAUGGGAACGCGAGCAUUUUUUGCACUGGGACAGCCAUAGGGAGUCGGGCUGCUUUUAAAAUCCCGGGUUCACUACCGGAGAUGUUUGAAUGUGCUCAGGAGCUUAAGACAGAAGGAUGCCAAAUCCAAGGAUAACCUGGGCAAAAGGUGCCUGCUGAUCCAGAUGUAAAAAUUUCUCCUCCAGCACCGUGUCUCCCUGAGUGCUGCCAAGCUUCCUGUCACGACAAUAGUCAACUAUACCUCUGAAACUGUCCUCUCCUAAUCAUUUGCUCUGCUAAUGGACUUUACAGUUAUCUUCAAUGCCUGCCAAUGUCAUAUCCUUUCAAAAAAUACUGCUAUGUCUUUAGUGGACUUUCAUCUAGUUAUACUGUUGUCACUUAGGAUUCAUGCUGGAAAGGUCCUUUUGUGAAACCAAAUAUAAUAAUAUAUAAUUGUUUGCCAUGACCAUUCAUUAUAUUUGAAGAAAAGAACUCUAAACAUACAUCCAGGAUAGAAAAUGCUACUAAUGAUUGAUAGGGGCAGGGAUGGUACUUGUCUGUUCUUUACAAAAAGGCAUGAAUUAUGGGCUAGAAAGAUGGCUCCACAGUUAAGGGUACUCAUUGCUCUUGCAGAGGACAGUUUCCAUCACAUACCUGGUGUCUCACAAGCAUCUGUAACUUCGGUUCCAGAGGAUCUCCUUCUCUUGAAUAUGUGCACACAUUGUGCACAGACAUACAUUUAAGCAACACACACACAUAAAAGAAAAAUUAUUUUAAAAACUGAGGUAUGAAUUAAAUCAAAUUCAAAAAGCAAAAAGAUUCAAUGAAAAAAUCAUUAGCUAUGAGCAUUUAAAUAUUAUAUCUUUUGCUUUCAGAUAAACUCAGUUUUGAGGUGGCCUUUGGGAUAUGUGCAAAUACUCAAGUAAGAACAGCAGUUAAUGUGAUCCAUUCUUCUGAAUGAGGUCAUUUGGCUCAUCUCCCUUCUCAAUAUAGGUCUCUGUUUCUGUGGACUACAUAUUGACAAAGUGGAUAUAACGAUUGUAAAUAUUUAAAAUAAUAUUAAAAAUAUUAUUGUACAGAUCAAGAACCAAUUGGAGAACAACACUUUAGCAUCAGAACCACCCCCUCCAUCUAACAAUGUAUUUCAAAGUUGGAGAAAAGCAAGGAGAAUUCAAACCAAUAAUCAAAUAAUUAGUUAAUUAAAUCAAGUUAGAAUUCAUGAACUGGAGACUUGAAAAACAGUCUACAGAAUUAACCAAAUAGUUCAGUGGUUCUCAACUUUCCUAAUACUGCAAAAUCAAUGGCCAUAUCCCUGAAUGACAGCAUUUUUGGCAAUAAAGAUAAAUGAAUGACUGCUAUAAAACACAAAGAAGGAUAGAAGAAAG
rnacentral:lncRNA from 1 species